rnacentral:rRNA from 1 species
GCAAGCGUUGUUCGGAAUUACUGGGCGUAAAGGGCUCGUAGGUGGCCAACUAAGUCAGACGUGAAAUCCCUCGGCUUAACCGGGGAACUGCGUCUGAUACUGGAUGGCUUGAGUUCGGGAGAGGGAUGCGGAAUUCCAGGUGUAGCGGUGAAAUGCGUAGAUAUCUGGAGGAACACCGGUGGCGAAGGCGGCAUCCUGGACCGACACUGACGCUGCGGAGCGAAAGCCAGGGGAGCAAACGGG